CUACUCUUAAGCUUGAGGGUGCAACGAGCUUGUGCAUCUGGAAUUGUUUUUGUGGCUUCAGUUAUCUCCUUUGGUUGUUCUGAGUCAGUUUCCUGACCCAGUGCAGUUUAAUGGAGGUAAAUAUCUUAUCAGUCAUAUUUCUCCGAGAAAAUAUACUUAGCACUUUUCUCUUUGAACUCCCUCAGAAAGGCUCUUUUGAAAAUUACCAUUUGGCCUUUCUAUCAUUUCCAAGUGGAAACUUGAUUGCAUUUACAGUCUGAAGAAAUCAAGGAAUCAGCCCUAUUUAAAAAAAAAUGUAUCCACUCAAGUUGAAAAUGAUACAAUAAAUAUCAUGCCACGUAUUUGCUUAAUUUAUCUGCUUUGGAUAAAAUCAUGUGACCACCUGUCUAGAUGUUUUUCUAAUAGGUAACAUCCCAAUUGUUUCCAUUUUUGAUUUAUUACCAGAGUCAAAAGCAUAUCUUGGGUUGUGCAAAUAGUCUUUAUAACUCUGGGUCAAAUACUUCAACCUAUUUUAAAGUUAGAGAAAAGCACGAAAUCCUGAAAUAAGGUAAGCCCACAUGACCUGUUUAUCCAGACUGUCUUGAAAUUUUGAACCAUCUAUAGAAUGUAGAACUGUUUAUAGUUAACUGGGCUUCAUUGUAAGAAAACCAAUUUUGAAAACCCCUGCUAAAAGCACUUCAGCCGCUACAGAAGCUGUGAUCUGAAAUAUGCAACAGAUUCUUUUCUUGGGCAGAAAAGAGCUUGAGUUUAUAAGUGUAUUGUUUGAUCAAAAAAGUUGACAGCCAAUGUUGAUGUAAGUGAUUAUUUGAUAAAUAUUACAUGGUUUGAUGACUAUUAAAGACAUGCCCAUCUCAAAGGCACAUGGAACACUAUUACAGACUUCUUCAGUGUUUCUCCAUUUUCUUGUCCCUAAUGACCUGACUUAAGCAACAGACCCAAUAUUUAUCAAUAUCUUUAGGAACUUCAAGUGUAAUUCUGUAGCAUAUGAUUUCAGUAUAAGUCACUGGUUUCAGAGUAAGUCACCAAUGCUCUAUAUACUGUAAUCCCAAGCAGAGUGGCUAAUUCCAUUUAAAUUGUAUUAUCCAGUUUGCACAUCCUGCUCCCAAAGCCAAAUUCUCUUUUUUAAAUGCUGUUUAAAGAACUUUGAAUACUAUUAGCUUAAUUUCUAAUCAUAAGUGCCUAGUUUCUUUGCUUCUAUUCAUGUCAUUAAUGAACACACACUGUCCCUUUCACUGAUUUAUAACUGUUAACAUCAAAGCAAGUAAUUAAUAGCAACUAUUGCUGUUUUUAAGGUAAUUAUUAAAGUAAGUUAGAAAUCUCUUAGCAACUUUCCUUAUGAAAUAUGGAUUAUUAGCUAUAGUCACCCUGCUGUGUAUUAAAUCCCUGUUGAUAUUUAUUUUACCACUGAAAAUUUGUAUCCUUAGACCCUCUUCACCCAUUUUGCUCACCUCCUCUACUCCUCACCUCUGGCAAUUACUCGUCUGCUAGUUCUCUGUGUAUAUGAGUUGGGGUGUUUUUUGCUUGUUUGUUGGUUGGUUGGUUUUGACUCCAUGUCAAAGUGAGAUCAUACAGUACAAAAUUUAUUUUAAUAUGUUUCUGAGUAUGAAACUAAUACUUGUUUAUUUUAGCCAUCAAAGUUCAAAAAAAGAAACAUUUUGGCUGGCUGCCCUGCCUGUCUGCUUUCAUUCCUUCUGACUACCUAGCUAUCUGUCCAUUCGUUUGUUUAUUAGAGAUCAUACUGAACAUGUAAUCUUUCAUUUUUUUAUUUUCAAGAAUACUAUCUUGUUUUCCAAUGGAAUUGUUAAAUUUGAAUAAAUAUUACCUUUGCUGGCUACAUUAUAUUUCAUCAAAUGAAUAGGUUUCGUCAGUUUCUAACUGAAUUUCCUUCCUCCCCUCCUUUCUCUUUCUUCCUUCCUCCCGCCCUCCUUCUCUUUCUUUUCUGUUAUAAAUAGCAGUAAACAUUUUUGCUUAUAAGAAUUUGUAUGUAUCUAUUAUUAAUGUAUUAGGAAAUUUUAUCAUAAAUGAAGUUUUUUCAUCAAUGUUGUGCAGAUCAAUCUGUCAAUCCAACUUCCUUAGGAGUUCAGUAUCUAGUGAUAUGAAAAUAUAUACGAUACUAAAUUACGGUAAGUUGCAAAGUAGCAGCUUCUAGUCCUGGAGAAUGGUACCAGGGAAAAGGCACUGCCCUGGGCUUCUACAGGUAGGGCUUGGGGCUGGAACUGCACAAUGAGGGCUUGUAAAAAUGUGCCUCAUCUUGGUGAUAUACUUUUCUUGCAUGUUUCACAGUCCUGACACUUCAAUCUUGUCCUGAAUGGACUGACAGGUUGAUUUCACACUGUUUCCUGUAAUGGUCUUUCUGAUAUGUCGAAGUCUUACAUUUUAGAAAUUGGCGAGCGGGAGCCAUUUGGGGGGAUUAUAUCCAGGCAGGGAAUAUAUCAGGUGCCCCACCACCUCCUCCCUUCCUCCGUGCCACUUAGAUAGGUGAUUGUGAAUGACAUUUCCCAGUAAGAUUCAGGGGCAGUUUCACCAGCCCAUAUUGUCAGCCUUAGGUCUAAAUUGAUGGCAUGUGGAUUAUUCUCCAUCAGUGGAUUUCCUUACUGGGCACAUGUUCCUUUUAAUCAUGUCUUCCCCUUAUCUCAUGUUCCCUGUCUCAUGGGCAGCACAGAACUACUGGUUAUUUUCCAAUCAUGGGGUCUCUCCCAAUAGACUGCAUCUCAUUCUUUCAUUCUUCAAAUGGUCCCUUGUCUUGGGAACAGGGAUGCCCUUCAUUGUGCCCUGAACUUAUAUCAGUGGGAAACAGGUCUCUCAAGGAGAGAGGGUUGCAUUUGAUAUGGUGUUAUUUUUGAGCCAAGCAUUAUUAUUUUUGGCCAGAUGGCCAUUUUCUUCUCCAUCUCAGAGAAUUGAAAUAUGAAUGUAGUGGAGUGAGCUGGGUAGCUAUUUGUUAGAUCACCUGUCCUAAGGAAGGCUUAAUGGAGUCCUUUCUUUCCUUUCUUUCCUCUAAACUGGCUGGGACAGCACACAUGUGGCUCCUAUUACUCAGUGUGUGUGUAAUUGCAUGUGAGGAAAGACCACCCACAAUUCUAUUUUAGAAGGUAAAUGUUAGAAGCUCCCGUCACUCCUUUUCUGUUGAGGAGACUUGCCCUCAGUGGUACCUAUUAGUCAGUGUGAAAUAGCAAAGCCACACAGGUGCCUUAGCUCAGAAGGAGAGAAAUGUCAUAAUUCAUUUCCAGGUCUGAGUCUCUGGGAUUGUGAGAUUAACUGGCAUCAACAGCAAUAGGGAUACAGGUCAUCUGGGUAGCAGACACUGGUAUUGUCAUUUUGUCUGUCUUGCUAUGGAAAUGGAAGUUUAACUCAAAAAAUCAAUGUAUUCUUAGUGAAGUGGAUCAGUUACCUUGGCAGAAGAAAGGUGCUGUGCCUUUGUGUGAUUGCUACAUGGCCAUGUGUGUGGUAUUGUUGGGAAAAGAUCUGUUAGAAGACAGACAAGAUUUCACAACUCACUUUUUAAUAGAAAGUGACUUGGCUUUCACUGAUGAAGUGGAUUAUUGGAAAGGAUACUCCUGAGCCAUUGGAGUAUUAGCUUUCUGAUAUCUGCAUGUAAAGAGGUCCCAGCUCAAGUUCCCUGGAAUGUGGGCCUUCAGUUUCUUUGCAAUGUGAAAGUGAAGAGAAGUGAGGGGAGACCUAGUUCCAAGUGACCUUGCUUUGCAUUUAAUAAGGGCUGCUAAUGAAAUGGAAGUAGAGGCUCUAUGACCUUAGAGUCAUGGGUAGCCUCUGGAUCUCCCCAAAGCAUUCCUGUUGUAUGUAACAACACUGGGCAUAGUUGGGGUUUGGUGUUGUAUGGAAUCAAAACCACAAUAUUAUUCCUACCCUCAUUAAGGUUAUAAUCUAAUUGGAAUUUAAGAGUAUCACUCAGGAAUAACUGUAGAACAUGAUAAUGAAUAUAUUGCUAGGUUCUAAACUGUGUAGUUCUCAUUUUAAUAACUGAGAAGUGGAAGGGAGAGAUGUAAAUCGAAUCGAAGUAGACAGAGGCAAGGAAUAUACUUUCCCAUAUGAUUUGGGCAGGUAGAAAGCAAAAGGUGAGCAUUUUCCAUAUGAUACACAAUAUAUAUAUUUCAAUGCAUUAGUUUCUGAGAACUACUGUAAUAAAUUGCAUGUGCCGUGUGGCUUUUCUUGGCUUAUGGCGGCACAACUCCAUUCUCUGUAUUCAUAUUCAUAUGACCAUCUUCAUUCUGUGUCUGUAUCUGCAUCCAAAUCUUUGUUUCCUUAUAAGGGUACUAGUCAUUGCACAAAUCCCAGGAUGACCUUAUCUUAACUUGAUUUCAUGUACAAAGACCCUAUCUCCAAAUAAAGUCAUAUUCCAGGUUCUGGAUGGAUAUGAACUUGGGGGAUGGGGGAGGGCACUAUUUAACCCAGUACACAUAGUUUGAGCAAUACAAUGAUACAUUUUUCUCUGCCUUAUUUUUUGGUAAAACAUUCUUUUACUUUUAGCAUAUGUAAAUUUUUCCCAAGGUUUCUCAUUUUCCCUUGUGGAAAAGGUAGAAAAAUGUGUUCUGAAUGUAAACAUUGUGUGGUGGAUUAGAUCCUGAUUGAAAUAUUGCCCCCAAUAUAAAGAAGGUUUUUGUGGCAUGCUCCACACUCCUUUUCAUGACCCUGGAGCUGUUUGGGUUUUUGGUUAAUGAUGUGCAUAAGAAUGAUAAAAGCUCUGUGUAUCCCAUUUGAGGAUAGUGCACACAUGAAUUUUUUCUAAGUU
rnacentral:lncRNA from 1 species